GGAUGAACGCUGGCGGCGUGCCUACUACAUGCAAGUCGAGCGAACAGACGAGGAGCUUGCUCCUCUGACGUUAGCGGCGGACGGGUGAGUAACACGUGGAUAACCUACCUAUAAGACUGGGAUAACUUCGGGAAACCGGAGCUAAUACCGGAUAAUAUAUUGAACCGCAUGGUUCAAUAGUGAAAGACGGUUUUGCUGUCACUUAUAGAUGGAUCCGCGCCGCAUUAGCUAGUUGGUAAGGUAACGGCUUACCAAGGCAACGAUGCGUAGCCGACCUGAGAGGGUGAUCGGCCACACUGGAACUGAGACACGGUCCAGACUCCUACGGGAGGCAGCAGUAGGGAAUCUUCCGCAAUGGGCGAAAGCCUGACGGAGCAACGCCGCGUGAGUGAUGAAGGUCUUCGGAUCGUAAAACUCUGUUAUUAGGGAAGAACAAAUGUGUAAGUAACUAUGCACGUCUUGACGGUACCUAAUCAGAAGGCCACGGCUAACUACGUG
rnacentral:rRNA from 1 species